rnacentral:rRNA from 1 species
UACAGAGGUCCCGAGCGUUGUUCGGAUUCACUGGGCGUAAAGGGUGCGUAGGUGGUGGGGUAAGUCUGAUGUGAAAUCUCUGAGCUCAACUCAGAAAUUGCAUUAGAAACUACCUUGCUAGAGGAUUGGAGGGGGGACUGGAAUUCUCGGUGUAGCAGUGAAAUGCGUAGAUAUCAGGAGGAACACCUGCGGUGUAGACGGCUUACUGGACCAUCACUGACGCUGAGGCACGAAAGCGUGGGUAGCAAACAGG